UUGACCUCGAAUCAGGUAGGAAUACCCGCUGAACUUAAGCAUAUCAAUAAGCGGAGGAAAAGAAACCAACCGGGAUUACCUCAGUAACGGCGAGUGAAGCGGUAACAGCUCAAAUUUGAAAUCUGGCUCCUCUGGAGUCCGAGUUGUAAUUUGUAGAAGAUGCUUUGGGUUGUGGGUUCGGCCUAAGUUCCUUGGAACAGGACGUCAUAGAGGGUGAGAAUCCCGUAUGUGGCCGAGGCCCGCGCCUAUGUAAAGCUCUUUCAACGAGUCGAGUUGUUUGGGAAUGCAGCUCAAAAUGGGUGGUAAAUUUCAUCUAAAGCUAAAUAUGGGCCAGAGACCGAUAGCGCACAAGUAGAGUGAUCGAAAGAUGAAAAGCACUUUGGAAAGAGAGUUAAACAGUACGUGAAAUUGUUGAAAGGGAAGCGCUUGCACCCAGACUUGGGCGCUGCUGAUCACCUUGCGGUCUCCGCGAGUGCACUCGACAGCGCACAGGCCAGCAUCGGUUCGGGUGGCUGGAUAAAGGCCGUAGGAACGUAGCUCCCUUCGGGGAGUGUUAUAGCCUACGGUGCCAUGCAGCCCAGCCGGACCGAGGACCGCGCCUUCGGGCUAGGAUGCUGGCGUAAUGGGUGUAAGCGACCCGUCUUGAAACACGGACCAAGGAGUCUAACAUCUAUGCGAGUGUUUGGGUGGCAAACCCAUACGCGGAAUGAAAGUGAACGUAGGUGAGAACCCCUUUG
rnacentral:rRNA from 1 species